GACGAACGCUGGCGGCGUGCCUAAUACAUGCAAGUAGAACGCUGAAGAGAGGAGCUUGCUCUUCUUGGAUGAGUUGCGAACGGGUGAGUAACGCGUAGGUAACCUGCCUUGUAGCGGGGGAUAACUAUUGGAAACGAUAGCUAAUACCGCAUAACAAUGGAUGACACAUGUCAUUUAUUUGAAAGGGGCAAUUGCUCCACUACAAGAUGGACCUGCGUUGUAUUAGCUAGUAGGUGAGGUAAUGGCUCACCUAGGCGACGAUACAUAGCCGACCUGAGAGGGUGAUCGGCCACACUGGGACUGAGACACGGCCCAGACUCCUACGGGAGGCAGCAGUAGGGAAUCUUCGGCAAUGGGGACAACCCUGACCGAGCAACGCCGCGUGAGUGAAGAAGGUUUUCGGAUCGUAAAGCUCUGCUGUAAGUCAAGAACGGGUGUGAGAGUGGAAAGUUCACACUGUGACGGUAGCUUACCAGAAAGGGACGGCUAACUACGUG
rnacentral:rRNA from 1 species